CAAUUUAUGCAUAAGAAAGCCAAUGAAGCCUGACAAUUCUUAAAGGACCUAGCAAAAAAGAGCCUGCAGUGGGAAGCAACUAGGGAACCUACAAGAGGUGCUAUGCACCAAGUAUCCACAUCCCUAGCUACAGAGGCCAAAAUAGAUACUACACUACAUAGGUUAGAGGCUUUAGAACUCAAGGGACACACCCAAGUGAACCAAGUUUCUACAUCUACUUGCAAUGGAUGUAAUGCCACAUACCACAUUAUGGAAGAAUGUCCCUUUUUGAUGAACCCAACUA
rnacentral:lncRNA from 1 species